rnacentral:rRNA from 1 species
UACGGAGGAUGCGAGCGUUAUCCGGAUUUAUUGGGUUUAAAGGGUGCGUAGGCGGCUUAGUAAGUCAGCGGUGAAAUUUUGCAGCUUAACUGUAACAGUGCCGUUGAUACUGCCAGGCUAGGAUUUGGUUGCUGUGGGUGGAAUGUGUGGUGUAGCGGUGAAAUGCUUAGAUAUCACACAGAAUAUCGAUUGCGAAGGCAGCUCUCAAAGCCAAGAUUGACGCUGAGGCACGAAAGUGUGGGGAUCAAACA